rnacentral:rRNA from 1 species
AAUGAACGCUGGCGGCAUGCCUAACACAUGCAAGUCGAACGAAGGCUUCGGCCUUAGUGGCGCACGGGUGCGUAACGCGUGGGAAUCUGCCCCUUGGUUCGGAAUAACAGUUAGAAAUGACUGCUAAUACCGGAUGAUGACGUAAGUCCAAAGAUUUAUCGCCGAGGGAUGAGCCCGCGUAGGAUUAGCUAGUUGGUGUGGUAAGAGCGCACCAAGGCGACGAUCCUUAGCUGGUCUGAGAGGAUGAUCAGCCACACUGGGACUGAGGCACGGCCCAGACUCCUACGGGAGGCAGCAGUGGGGAAUAUUGGACAAUGGGCGAAAGCCUGAUCCAGCAAUGCCGCGUGAGUGAUGAAGGCCUUAGGGUUGUAAAGCUCUUUUACCCGGGAUGAUAAUGACAGUACCGGGAGAAUAAGCUCCGGCUAACUCCGUG